rnacentral:rRNA from 1 species
AUUGAACGCUGGCGGAAUGCUUUACACAUGCAAGUCGAACGGCAGCACGGACUUCGGUCUGGUGGCGAGUGGCGAACGGGUGAGUAAUGUAUCGGAACGUGCCCAGUCGUGGGGAUAACGUAGUGAAAAUUACGCUAAUACCGCCUACGAUCUAUGGAUGAAAGCGGGGGAUCGCAAGACCUCGCGCGAUUGGAGCGGCCGAUAUCAGAUUAGGUAGUUGGUGGGGUAAAGGCCCACCAAGCCAACGAUCUGUAGCUGGUCUGAGAGGACGACCAGCCACACUGGAACUGAGACACGGUCCAGACUCCUACGGGAGGCAGCAGUGGGGAAUUUUGGACAAUGGGCGAAAGCCCGAUCCAGCCAUUCCGCGUGCAGGAUGAAGGCCCUCGGGUUGUAAACUGCUUUUGUACAGAACGAAAAGGUUUCUACUAAUACUAGGAGCUCAUGACGGUACUGUAAGAAUAAGCACCGGCUAACUACGUGCCAGCCGCCGCGGUAA